AUGAAGUUCUGCGACCACGUGAGUAUGGAGAUCCUGUCCCCCGUCUUUGCCACCCUGCACCCCGGUUUCUACCAGGCAGCCCGCAAGGACUUCAGCUACGAGCAUUGGCCACAGUCUCAGGCACACAUCCCCAGGGACAAGGGCGACUUUUACUACAUGAGGACCUUUUUUGGGGGGUCGGUGGUAGAGGUUCACCGACUGACCUUGGCCUGUCACCAGGCAAUGGGGGUCAACCUGGCCACUGGGAUUGAGGCUGUGUGGCACAAUGAGAGCCACGUGAACAGGCACUUGCUGGACCAUAAGCCCAUUAAGGUGCUGUCCCCAGAGGACCCGUGGGACCCUCAGCUGCUGGGCUGUCCCCGAGAGGACCUCCACUGCCAGGCUGCAGCCUGGGAAAUUGGCUAUCCCGAGUUCCUCCAGCUGCUGGGGGAGCGCCUGCCCCCUCCUCUCUGCCUGAGGGCUGGCCAGCUCUCAAUGUUGCAAGGAAAAAUAGACCAUUUGGAGCGUUUGCUAGCUGAGAAUAAUGAGAUCAUCUCAAACAUUAGAGACUCGGUCAUCAAUUUGAGUGAGUCUGUGGAGGAUGGUCCAAAAAGUUCACAAGGCAAUUUCAGCCAAGGUGCUGGCGCACCUCUUCUGCCAUCAAAACAGUUGUCCCUUGUAGUGGACCCUGAAGACUGUUCGUUCGCUUUGCAAAGUGGAAGUCGGAAUUCAGAUGUGCAGAUGUUGGAUGUUUACAGUCUAAUUCCUUUUGACAAUCCAGAUGGUGGAGUUUGGAAACAAGGAUUUGACAUUAGCUAUUUAUUUAAUGAAUGGGACUCUAAGCCCCUUCAAGUCUUUGUGGUGCCUCAUUCCCAUAAUGACCCAGGUUGGUUGAAGACUUUUGAUGACUACUUUAGAGAGAUGACUCAGUAUAUUUUUAAUAACAUGGUCAUCAAGCUGAAAGAAGACUCACGGAGAAAAUUUAUGUGGUCUGAGAUUUCUUACCUUUCAAAGUGGUGGGAUACUAUAGAUAAGCCGAAGAAGGAUGCUGUUAAAAGUUUGCUACAGAAUGGUCAGUUUGAAAUUGUGACAGGUGGCUGGGUUAUGCCUGAUGAAGCUGCUCCACAUUAUUUUGCCUUAAUUGACCAACUAAUUGAAGGACAUCAGUGGCUGGAAAAAAAUCUAGGAGUGAAACCUCGGUCCGGUUGGUCUAUUGAUCCUUUUGGACAUUCACCAACAAUGGCUUAUCUCCUCAAACGCGCCGGAUUUUCUCACAUGCUUAUUCAGAGAGUUCAUUAUGCAGUUAAAAAACAUUUUGCAUUGCAUAAAACGCUGGAAUUUUUUUGGAGACAGAAUUGGGAUCUGGGAUCUGGCACAGAUAUUUUUUGCCACAUGAUGCCUUUCUACAGCUAUGACAUCCCUCGUACGUGUGGACCUGAUCCUAAAAUAUGCUGCCAGUUUGAUUUUAAACGGCUUCCCGGAGGCAGAUUUGGUUGUCCCUGGGGAGUCCCCCCAGAAACAAUACAUCUUGGAAAUGUCCAAAAGAGGGCUGAGAUGCUUCUAGAUCAGUACCGAAAGAAGUCAAAGCUCUUCCGUACUACAGUUGUCCUGGCCCCACUAGGAGAUGAUUUUCGCUACUGUGAACUCAUAGAAUGGGAUCAUCAGUAUAAGAAUUAUCAGCUGCUUUUUGAUUAUAUGAAUUCUCAUCCUGAGUAUAAUGUUAAGAUACAGUUUGGGACUUUAUCAGAUUAUUUUGAUGCACUGGAUAAAGAAGAUGUAACCAUUAGAAAGAAUAGCCAAUCCAUGUUCCCUGUUCUAAGUGGAGAUUUUUUCACUUAUGCUGACCGAGACGAUCAUUACUGGAGCGGCUACUUUACAUCCAGACCCUUCUACAAACGAAUGGAUAGGAUAUUGGAAUCCCAUCUAAGGGCUGCUGAAAUUCUUUACUAUUUCGCCCUGAAACAAGCUCAGAAAUACAAGAUAAGUAAAUUUCUUUCAUCAUCCCAUUACAUGGCACUGACAGAAGCCAGAAGAAAUUUGGGACUGUUUCAACAUCAUGAUGCUAUCACAGGAACUGCAAAAGAUUGGGUGGUUGUGGAUUAUGGUACCAGACUCUUUCAUUCAUUAACGAAUUUGAAGAAGAUAAUUGGAUAUUCUGCACUACUUCUUAUUUUGAAGGACAAAAACUCGUACAACUCUUACUCUUUUGAUAACCUCCUAGACAUGGAUUUGAAACAAAACUCACACGGUUCUCUACCACAAAAAACUGUAAUAACACUGAGUGCAGAGCCAAGGUAUCUUGUGGUCUGUAAUCCUUCAGAAUAAGACCGAAUCUCAGUGGUCUCAGUCUAUGUGAGUUCCCCCACAGCACAAGUGUCUUCUGCUUCCGGAAAGCCUGUGGAAAUUCAGAUGAGUGCAGUUUGGAAUACAGCAACUACUAUUUCACAGACAGCCUAUGAGAUCUCCUUCCUAGUGCAGAUGCCACCACUCGGACUGAAAGUGUAUAGAAUUUUGGAAUCAGCAAGUUCAGACCCACAUUUAGCUGAGUAUGUGCUGCAUAAUGGUAACGUAAAAGAUAAAGGAAUUUUCAACAUGAAGAAUGUAAAAAGUACUGAAGAAGAUAUAACUCUAGAGAACUCCUUUGUUAAACUUCGGUUUGAUCAGUCUGGGCUUUUGGAGGAAAUGAUAAAUAAAGAAGACAGUAAACAUCAUGAAGUAAAAGUGCAAUUUUCAUGGUAUGGAACCACCAGUAAAAAGGACAAAAGUGGUGCCUACCUCUUCUUGCCUGAUGGGGAAGCCAAGAAUUUACUCCCAGGCCAUAAACUUUUGUUUCUUCAGUUUCUUCUGGGAUAUCUUUUUCUUCUGUGCAACCUCCCCUUCUGGUUUAGGAACAAUCUGCUCUUUUUCAGUAAGGAUGAUCUCAGUGUGGCAGGGAUAGCUCACGUGUGGGUGAAUCCGACCAGGAACCCGGUAACCUGGAUGGGGAGGACCAUGCUGCAGAGCGAACAGUGGAGGAUGUUUCCCUCCUAAAGUUCAUGCUGGGCACCUUCCCAGGGUGUCUGACUGUCCAGCUGAUCUUAAAGCGCUGGGCUAACCAGUUGGAGAUCUGUGCCCUGGUCCUGAGGGCACAGAAGUUCUACUUCCUGGUGGGCUACAGUGAGACUCUGGUGUCCCACUUUUACAAAUGUCCCGUCCAUCUGCACCUCCAGACUGUGCCCUCCAAGGUCAUGUAUACAUACAUCUAAGACAGUCACCUUUUCUGCAUCAGGCUCUAGCCUGCGAAGACAGAACCAUGUGGAAAGAAGUGAAGUAGAAAUGGGGAAAUACAUCACCUCACUGUCUCAAGGAUUCCUUUUCAAAGCUGCUGUUGAAUAAAUAGACCUUCUCUGUUGUCUUGUCUCUUGGU